rnacentral:lncRNA from 1 species
UUUAGCCAGUCAUUCGGUUACUUGGGUGAACCAGAUCAAGAUUUCUACUCUGUCUUUGACCUCAUCGAGGAGAAGCAGCCCAUUAAGCAAGCUGAGAACCUGAGUGCCUUCCCUGCAAUAAAACCUGUUGUUCCUACUGAGGGACCUGGGAUGAAUUUAUACUCUGAUCAGGGAAGUAACUCUUUUGGUGGUUCAGACUUUGGAUGGGAACGUGAGGCUAAGAC